UGUAAUAAUGUCUUCAUCUUGUGCAUCACAUAGGGGUAUGCUUUUGAUGGGAAGAAAUGCUUCAGACUGUCAGCACCAGAUAAAACAAAUCAGGUUUAUUCCUUCAUCAUUCAGCUUACUUUAGUUGCAAAUACCUGAAUAGUCAGGAAAACCACCAGUGACAGGAAACAACAGCCUGGAAGUGGGUCCGCUUCUCAACACUGCACAGCAAGAACCAGGAGUCAGAAUCUGUACCUAUCAGCAGAUAUGGAAGCAAAGCCAACCUUGCAGGAAAGGGGAAGAUGUGCAUCCAAGUGGCACAGCUGCCUGCUUUUAAGUCUUUUCUAGGCUUAAGGGAGGAGCCCACAUCUCAAAAAAAGGCAGGGACUGAGGCACACAGAAUCCCAAAAGGUAGACAGAAGCAUCAUGUGUUAGGCAUGACACACAGCAUUUGGCAGCAAUAUAAGGAAGGUGCACCACAUCAAUAGCAGUGAUUUACAAAGCACAGGUUAACAUGCACAUGACAGUACAGAAGUUGUAGCAGUUUUAAUACAUAGAAGCCCACAACGUCACUGAAGAAAAAGCCUGCAUAAAGUAACCAAGAAAAGCCAGCCUUUUGUAAGAGCUAUAUUCACCAGUACAGCACUCACACCUCUGCUGGACAGUUUUGCAGGGGUCUGAAAAUGUUGAUGUAGGAGACUAUCACCUGAUUUGAAUAAAACACUGCAUUUGGUUAGUAGGCCAGUUGUAGUUUGUACAAGGUGAAGACAUAGCGGUGCACGAACAACACACUGUGGUUACAUAUGAUGAUUUUAUAUUAGCUAACAUGUUAUGCUCUUGGUGAUCAGAUGCUCUCAGCAACCUAAAAACACCAGAGUAUUUUGUAACUGGAUCUGUAGUACUAGGAAGAUUGGCUUUUUUCUUUUUCUUUUUUUUCCUGCUACUCUACCAGAAAUAUCGGUAACAAUAAUAAUAAAGUAAAAAUAUUCAAAAGCAGUGACUGAAACUAAAGAACCUGAGUGCCCAAAUAGGUUAUGAUGCUUAACUUGAGACUCAUAAGCUGAACUACUUUGUGGAUUUCACAUUAUUCUUCAUUCUUUCACAUUUCUCUUCAUCAUGUCUAAGAAACUGAAAAAUCUGUGGUGUUAAGAGAAAAGCCUGCCUGUUGACCUAGACAGUAAGCACUGCUCCUUUCCCCAGUGAGAUCUGCAGUCUUCUACUCACUUCUGAUUUCUGCUUUCCUGGGGAACCCUAAAGCAACCCUUCUGACUGCAGCAGAUUCUGUGGGAAGGCACAGGCUCUGCAGUGAGGGGCUGGUGCCAGGCCCUGCAGCUGCCUCUUCCAAAUGGCAAAAGUGGAAACUGUUGCUGAGGCGUCUUUCACGCUACUUUUAUGUUGUAAUUAGGGUGAAGUAAGAUGAGGCACACCUAUGUUUGGAAGGUGCACAAUUUAAAGCAGCUUAUAUUGGCUAGUCCCGACCUGUGCUGUUAUGCCCAAUACUGCUUCUCCAAAUAAUGUAUCAGCUAUCAGAGGUAUUUGAUUAUAAGGUACAAUUUAUAAUAAAGUACCUAAUAUGCUUUA